rnacentral:rRNA from 1 species
GACGAACGCUGGCGGCGUGCUUAACACAUGCAAGUCGAACGGAAAGGCCCUGCUUUUGUGGGGUGCUCGAGUGGCGAACGGGUGAGUAACACGUGAGUAACCUGCCCUUGACUUUGGGAUAACUUCAGGAAACUGGGGCUAAUACCGGAUAGGAGCUCCUGCUGCAUGGUGGGGGUUGGAAAGUUUCGGCGGUUGGGGAUGGACUCGCGGCUUAUCAGCUGGUUGGUGGGGUAGUGGCUUACCAAGGCUUUGACGGGUAGCCGGCCUGAGAGGGUGACCGGCCACAUUGGGACUGAGAUACGGCCCAGACUCCUACGGGAGGCAGCAGGGGGGAAUAUUGCACAAUGGGCGGAAGCCUGAGGCAGCAACGCCGCGUGCGGGAUGACGGCCUUCGGGUUGUAAACCGCUUUCGCCUGUGACGAAGCGUGAGUGACGGUAAUGGGUAAAGAAGCACCGGCUAACUACGU